GAUGAAGAACGUAGCGAAAUGCGAUACUUGGUGUGAAUUGCAGAAUCCCGUGAACCAUCGAGUCUUUGAACGCAAGUUGCGCCCGAAGCCACUAGGCCGAGGGCACGCCUGCCUGGGCGUCACACGCCGUUGCCCCCCCAUCUACUCCUUCGGGAUUGCGGGGGGGCGGAUGAUGGCCUCCUGUGCGCCUAGCCGCGCGGUUGGCAUAAAUACCAAGUCCUCGGCGACGCACGCCACGACAAUCGGUGGUUGCGAAACCUCGGUUGCCCGUCGUGUGCGUUCGUCGCGCAUCGAGGGCUCGAAAAAAUGCUCGGCUCCGGCUGGGCUUUCAACGCGACCCCAGGUCAGGCGGGGUUACCCGCUGAAUUUAAGAAUAUCAAUAAGGGAGGA
rnacentral:misc_RNA from 1 species